GGAGGGAUCAUUAAAGAGUUCUAUAACUCCCAAACCCAUGUGAACAUACCUAACGUUGCCUCGGCAGGUCGCACCUACCUUGUAGCACCCUACCCUGUAGGGCCUACCCGGGAGGUGCGGGUAAGCCUGCCGGCGGCCCACCAAACUCUGUUUGAUAUUGAAUUCUGAACCUAUAACUAAAUAAGUUAAAACUUUCAACAACGGAUCUCUUGGUUCUGGCAUCGAUGAAGAACGCAGCGAAAUGCGAUAAGUAAUGUGAAUUGCAGAAUUCAGUGAAUCAUCGAAUCUUUGAACGCAUAUUGCGCCCAUUAGUAUUCUAGUGGGCAGGACCGUUCGAGCGUCAUUUCAACCCUUAAGCCUUCGUUGCUUAGUGUUGGGAGCCUACGGCAACGUAGCUCCUCAAAGUUAGUGGCGGAGUUGGUUCACACUCUAGACGUAGUAAUUUUUUAUCUCGCCUAUUAGUUGGACUAAUCCCCUGCCGUAAAACCCCCAAUUUAUAUCAAGGUUGACCUCGAAUCGGUUCAGACAAACUCGCUAAAUUGAAGCAUCUUAGUCAGCGAAGGAAAAGAAACCAACAGGGAUUGCCCUAGUAACGGCGAGUGAAGCGGCAAC
rnacentral:rRNA from 1 species